rnacentral:rRNA from 1 species
AACGAAUGCUGGCGGCGUGCCUAACACAUGCAAGUCGAACGGAAAACAUAGCAAUAUGCUUUUAGUGGCGAACGGGUGAGUAACGCGUAGACAACCAACCUUUUUGUGGGGGACAACACUUCGAAAGGAGUGAUAAUACCGCAUACGCUCCAGAUGCCGCCUGGCAUUUGGAGGAAAGGAGCUUUACGGCUUCGCAAAAAGACGGGUCUGCUUCUGAUUAGCGAGUUGGAGGGGUAACGGCCCACCAAGGCGACGAUCAGUAGCCGGUCUGAGAGGAUGGACGGCCACACUGGGACUGAGACACGGCCCAGACUCCUACGGGAGGCAGCAGUGGGGAAUCUUCCGCAAUGGACGAAAGUCUGACGGAGCGACGCCGCGUGAGUGAUGAAGGCCCUUGGGUCGUAAAGCUCUGUCAUCAGGGACGAACGGUCACGUCAGGAAAUGGGCGUGAAUUGACGGUACCUGAGAAGGAAGCCACGGCUAACUACGUGCCAGCAGCCGCCGUAA